UCCUUCCUUACUCUCUUCAUCAGAUGCUUUGAUGAAUUCCUCACAUUUCAGUGUCAUUCGACAAGCACCAAGGCUGCAAUUAAAAUAAGCUUAUUAUUAUUGAAAUAAAAAUUAUGUAAACCUAUUGAUUAAGUAUAUACAUCAAUCAUAACGCAAUAUGAAUAAUCUUCAUGUAAGAAUACACGCAAAAGUAUAGUUUCACUCGAGAUUAAUUAUGGAAUAUACACUACUUGCAAUUCAAUAU
rnacentral:lncRNA from 1 species